GCUGGGCAUGGUGGCGGGUGCCUGUAAUCCCAGCUACUCGGGAGGCUGAGGCGGGAGAAUUGCCUGAACCCAGGAGGCGGAGGUUGCGGUGAGCCGAGAUUGCUCGCUCUUGUUACCCGGUGGGAGUGUAAUGGUGCGAUCUCGGCUCACCGCAACCUCCGCCUCCUGGGUUCAGGCAAUUGUCCCGCCUCAG
rnacentral:SRP_RNA from 1 species